GACCCGUCUUGAACCACGGAGUCUAACAUGUGCGCGAGUCACUGGGAACCACUAAACCCAGAGGCGCAAUGAAAGUGGGGCGGCUUCGUGCCGCCAAGGGAGGAUGGCUCUCCUCAACGGGGGAGCCCGCACUCCCGGGGCGCCCCGGCUUCGGCCGUGGGCGCACUCUGAGCGUACACGUUGGGACCCGAAAGAUGGUGAACUAUGCCUGGUCAGGACGAAGUCAGGGGAAACCCUGAUGGAGGUCCGCAGCGAUUCUGACGUGCAAAUCGAUCGUCAGAGCUGCCUAUAGGGGCGAAAGACUAAUCGAACCAUUAGUAGCUGGUUCCUUCCGA
rnacentral:rRNA from 1 species